rnacentral:rRNA from 1 species
GACGAACGCUGGCGGCGUGCUUAACACAUGCAAGUCGAACGGAAAGGCCCCUUUGGGGGUACUCGAGUGGCGAACGGGUGAGUAACACUUGAGUAACCUGCCCUUGACUUCGGGAUAACUUCAGGAAACUGGGGCUAAUACCGGAUAGGAAUCCUUUCUUCAUGGUGGGGGUUGGAAAGCUUCGGCGGUUUUGGAUGGACACGCGGCUUAUCAGCUUGUUGGUUGGGUAGUGGCUUACCAAGGCUUUGACGGGUAGCCGGCCUGAGAGGGCGACCGGCCACAUUGGGACUGAGAUACGGCCCAGACUCCUACGGGAGGCAGCAGUGGGGAAUAUUGCACAAUGGGCGGAAGCCUGAUGCAGCAACGCCGCGUGCGGGAUGACGGCCUUCGGGUUGUAAACCGCUUUCAGCAGGGGCGAAGCUUGUGGUGACGGUACCUGCAGAAGAAGCACCGGCUAACUACGUG